rnacentral:rRNA from 1 species
UAGGGAAUCUUCGGCAAUGGACGGAAGUCUGACCGAGCAACGCCGCGUGAGUGAAGAAGGUUUUCGGAUCGUAAAGCUCUGUUGUAAGAGAAGAACGAGUGUGAGAGUGGAAAGUUCACACUGUGACGGUAUCUUACCAGAAAGGGACGGCUAACUACGUGCCAGCAGCCGCGGUAAUACGUAGGUCCCGAGCGUUGUCCGGAUUUAUUGGGCGUAAAGCGAGCGCAGGCGGUUAGAUAAGUCUGAAGUUAAAGGCUGUGGCUUAACCAUAGUACGCUUUGGAAACUGUUUAACUUGAGUGCAAGAGGGGAGAGUGGAAUUCCAUGUGUAGCGGUGAAAUGCGUAGAUAUAUGGAGGAACACCGGUGGCGAAAGCGGCUCUCUGGCUUGUAACUGACGCUGAGGCUCGAAAGCGUGGGGAGCAAACAGGAUUAGAUACCCUGGUAGUCCNCGCCGUAAACGAUGAGUGCUAGGUGUUAGACCCUUUCCGGGGUUUAGUGCCGCAGCUAACGCAUUAAGCACUCCGCCUGGGGAGUACGACCGCAAGGUUG